AGCAGCAAGGUCCACGAUGGGAAAAAUGAACCCAGCUGUCCCUCCUAGCUUGUACCUGCCUGAGUGCAGAAAGAAACCUCAUACAAAGCAAGAAUGCAUUUGGGCUUGUGGCUCUUUUUAACCAUAUUUAAUCCAAUUCAGAGUUAAUGGUAAGUAAUUUUGAAAUGGUUUAAGCAUUGCUGAAGAAGGGAAGAUCAGACUUGGCAGGCAGGAGCUAUUUCAAAGCAAGAUUCUUCUUUCUGUAACAAACAUGGAAACUUUACAAACUUCAUUAGAUCCUGCCAUCAAUGACUGAGCUUCCCUGAAAUCUUCUUAUCAGUUACUGCCAAGAUGAGAAGGAUAACAGGAAGGAGGAGUGCUUAAGUGGUUUUAAUGACAGUUAAUUUCAUCUAUUUAUCAAAUGACAGGUUGUCUUUUUUCCUCAAAACUUGAUUGUCAUGACAAAAUGCUUUUGGAAGUCAUCUGUGUAAAAUAAAACUGACAAUUUUGGGGCCACAAAGA